rnacentral:tmRNA from 1 species
GGGGGUGACCAGGGCUCGACGGUGACUGGAAAUCCGACGUGCAUGCCGAGGUGCGGUGGCCCUCGUAAAACUCUUCCGCAAACAAGCUAGUUGCGAACGACGCGAACUACGCCCUCGCCGCUUAAUCCCGGCGAGCAUCUGACCGGUCGGUGUUGAUGCCCCCGAAUCAGGUGUCGACUCUCAUCAACUCGCGGUGAGGAAGGCUACUGGCCAAUCCGCUAAACCCUUAAAGUAGAUAAGCGGCCGCGUUCCGUGCCCAUCCGGGAACGUCCGUCGAAAAAUAAAGAUCGGGCUACGCAUGUAGAUCGAAGGACGGAAGGUUGUCGGACGCGGGUUCAAUUCCCGCCACCUCCACCA